GCACGGAGAGCUUGCUCUCUGGUGGCGAGUGGCGAACGGGUGAGUAAUAUAUCGGAACGUGUCCAAUAAUGGGGGAUAACGAGUCGAAAGAUUCGCUAAUACCGCAUACGCCCUACGGGGGAAAGCAGGGGAUCGUAAGACCUUGCGUUAAUGGAGCGGCCGAUAUCUGAUUAGCUUGUUGGUGAGGUAAAGGCUCACCAAGGCGACGAUCAGUAGCUGGUUUGAGAGAACGACCAGCCACACUGGAACUGAGACACGGUCCAGACUCCUACGGGAGGCAGCAGUGGGGAAUUUUGGACAAUGGGGGCAACCCUGAUCCAGCCAUUCCGCGUGAGUGAAGAAGGCCUUCGGGUUGUAAAGCUCUUUCGCAAGGGAAGAAAACUUAUGAUCGAAUAAAUCAUGAGGUUGACGGUACCUUGAUAAGAAGCACCGGCUAACUACGUGCCAGCAGCCGCGGUAAUACGUAGGGUGCGAGCGUUAAUCGGAAUUACUGGGCGUAAAGCGUGCGCAGGCGGUUUUGUAAGUCGGAUGUGAAAUCCCCGGGCUCAACCUGGGAACUGCGUUCGAAACUGCAAGGCUAGAGUGUGUCAGAGGGGGGUAGAAUUCCACGUGUAGCAGUGAAAUGCGUAGAGAUGUGGAGGAAUACCAAUGGCGAAGGCAGCCCCCUGGGAUAACACUGACGCUCAUGCAC
rnacentral:rRNA from 1 species